UACGUAGGGUGCAAGCGUUGUCCGGAAUUAUUGGGCGUAAAGAGCUCGUAGGCGGCUUUACAGGUCCGUUGUGAAAACUCGAGGCUCAACCUCGAGACGCCGGUGGAAACCGUAAGGCUAGAGUCCGGAAGAGGAGAGUGGAAUUCCUGGUGUAGCGGUGAAAUGCGCAGAUAUUAGGAGGAACACCCGUGGCGAAAGCGGCUCUCUGGGACGGUACUGGACGCUGAGACGCGAAAGCGUGGGGAGCAA
rnacentral:rRNA from 1 species